rnacentral:rRNA from 1 species
GUGGGGAAUUUUGGACAAUGGGGGCAACCCUGAUCCAGCAAUGCCGCGUGCAGGAAGAAGGCCUUCGGGUUGUAAACUGCUUUUGUACGGAACGAAAAGGCUCUGGUUAAUACCUGGGGCACAUGACGGUACCGUAAGAAUAAGCACCGGCUAACUACGUGCCAGCAGCCGCGGUAAUACGUAGGGUGCAAGCGUUAAUCGGAAUUACUGGGCGUAAAGCGUGCGCAGGCGGUGCUGUAAGACAGGCGUGAAAUCCCCGGGCUUAACCUGGGAAUGGCGCUUGUGACUGCAGUGCUGGAGUGUGGCAGAGGGGGAUGGAAUUCCGCGUGUAGCAGUGAAAUGCGUAGAUAUGCGGAGGAACACCGAUGGCGAAGGCAAUCCCCUGGGCCUGCACUGACGCUCAUGCACGAAAGCGUGGGGAGCAAACAGGAUUAGAAACCCUGGUAGUCC